rnacentral:lncRNA from 10 species
ACAAAGGAAGGAGGAAGUAACUGGUGGAAUGCUGAGAAAGCAUUUCAGUGUGCGGCAUCAUCAUGCAAGCUCUGUAAGAGGAGAGUAAGAUCAGUACUCCUACUUGUAAAUGAAAGAGAAGAAAACAAAAACAAGCAAAUUCCUUCUAAGGUGUGAGGAACACGAGUAAACAGAGAAAUCACCUAAGGAGAAAACAGGAAGCAGAUUUGAAACUGUGGCCACCAACGACACGAGGGAGCGCAAAACCCAGCCCACUUGCCAGGGAGGCUGGCAGAGCCCACACCCAGUCUGGUGCCCUGGUCGGUUAC